GGCUACUUUGUUAAAUGAGUUAAAUUUUGUAGGAACAGCAAAGGUAGGGGGACAAUGUAUGUAUAUAUAUAUAUUUUUCCUUUUCCUUGCACAUUUGGUUGGUUAUGUGACGCAGGAUGUUUUUCCAGCACCACAGAAAUGUUUUUAAUUCAAGUUUGUCUGGGAAAAUUUGGUUGGGGAUAACUAAGCUGAUACUUAACAAUUUUAGGAUAGGUUAUGGCUUAUAAAGCUAUAUGUUGAGUUUGAUAAGAAGUAAAGGUCACAAACCAUAAGUAAGCAUUGUGGUUACAUAGGAAACAUAAAGCAAAAUAACAGAGCUAGAGGUUUACCUUUCUGUAAUAGAUUCUAAAAGAGCUCACAUGCAUGUCUUCUAAUAAGCAAAAUUGCUAUAACCUGAAGCAGUGGUGCUCCAAUGGUUGGUUGGCUUUCUCCAAGUAAAUGGUUUUAGCAAAUCACAGGAUUGCAACAUGGAAGAUUUUUCCUUCAAUAACUUCACAAAAACCUGUCUUUGUUGAGGGCAGAGAUUUACCUAAUGAGUUGCCUUUUUUUUUUUUUUUUAUGAUAAAUGCCUAAUGAGUUGCUUGUUCGAUCAUCUCAAUUGAUUGUUCUUCAGCCAUUGAUGAUACAUAUGAAAUAAAGUAAAUAAUCACUCAAUUGAGAGAUGCAGGUUCCAUUUUUUAAGUUGGAAAGCUUUGUGGGAUGACCCCAUGAUAUAGACCUAGUUCAGCCAAUUUGAACUUGAAAGAAGGAAAUGAAAAGAAGAGAGAAGCUUGUGCCUUAGAUUCCAAACUUGGUCAAAUAUCAAAUGUGUCUUAGCUGCCAAACUUUUUGGAUGUGCUUCUAUCCGUUGAAUGCAUAGUUUGAUACCAAAUCACUGUGGCUAAGUCUCCAAUCUGUGUUUGGAGUGUGGAAUCACAAGAAGAUUCUGGAACAUAGUAAAUACUGAAGUAUAACCACGCUAUUCAAUUCUUCUAUAAAUUAGAUGAACAUAAAAUUACAGAGAAGUGACAAAGAAGCUUUAGGAUGAAUUUCUGAAGUAUCCACUUUUGUCUUCUCUUUGAUAUUGUAAAAGUAAUACUUGGACUUGCUUUUACAGAUAAAAGUAGUGCAAAUGAUGUAGGAAUCUGUUAGGUGCAGAAAUCUGCUGGAAGCAUGAAUGCGGCAGUGCAUGGCUGCCUUGAGCCCUCUUUUCUUGAAUGAUGGAAAUUUUAAAAAAUUGUUCGAUCAUUCAGCAUGAAUCUAUACAAAGAUUGGAGACCAAGAAUUCAUGUAGCCAACUUCACUUAAUGAGACUCAGUUUGUGAUGAUGAUGAUCAAUGUGGUUUCCUCACCUUAUAACUCACCAGAAGUCAAACAAUCUCUGCCAAAUGUAUGUUCCUUUCCACUGAUAAUUCACCAUUACCACCAACCCCUGGUCCCCUUGUGAACGUUUACCUUCAACUCCAACUGUGUACUAUACUAGAUCCUUCGAUUUUGCCACUCUGCCAUAAACACCUGUAUUGCCGUCAGUAAUUACACGUACAUUUUCUCACAUGAAGGUUCACAUUCGUCUCCAUGGUUCAGAGGAGAUGGUUCAUGUGCAGGUGUUAGAUAUUAAGUGCUUGUUGUGGAGUAGUUUUUUUUAGCAAAAGUGCAUGCUUUUGUAAAAGUUCAAAGAAACCUUGUGUGGAGAAAGUUAAUUCCUCUUAAUUGAUUCAUCAAAGGACUGUACAUGCUGUAUAUAUAUACAGAAAAGGAAAACUAAUCAACUAAUCACAUCUCUAAACUAGGAAACACCUAAGAAUCUGCAAUCAAUCAACCUAAUCAAAGAGAUUUAGAAGCUGCCUAUUCUCCUAACUGGACAUUGCCUAAAAUAGGAGGAUCUUGGGAUAUUUUGACAGAAAGGAAAUUAACUAUUUCGAGAAACUAAGGCCUAGAAUAAUUCUACACCUUGGAUGGAUAUAAUAAAGGUAAAUUGCAUACAUACUGUGGUUUGACAUGUCUUCAGUGACACCCCUUGUACUUUAAAAUUGGCCUUGGAAGCCCUUGUGCUUUUGAUUCUUUGGCAAACACACCCCAUGUCAAUUUUUAGGGCUAAUACCAUCUAUUACAAGCCCAAAACAGAGGUAGUUUUAUACUGUAUAUAUCAAUUAAAUUAUUUACAUAAAGACUAAAUUUAAAUAAAAUAAAAAAGAAACAGAAAAAUAAAAAAGAAUUGCCAGUUGAACCAUUCCAGUCGGCAGUGAACUUGUUGCUGGUGGAUGACCCAUCAGCUAUGGGUUCCAAAGAACCAAUGCACAGAGAGAGAGGAAGAAGAAGAAGAAUCCCUCUUUGGUUCGAUUGAACCCAUCUUCGGAACAAGCCCAUUUGGUUUGAUCUUCGAACCUAGAUCAAAGAAGAAGAAGAAGAAGACGAAGAUGAACUAGAAUGAACACACGAAAAUGAAGAUGAACCAAGAUCAAUUCGUCGAAUCAAUCUAGAUUCGUUCCAAUCGUCGAAUCAAUUUGGGUUUGUUCCAGAUGUAGAACGAACCCAGAUCAGUUCACUUUUCACAAUAUUCAAACCCAGAUUGAAGAAGAAAAAAAAAAGA